UUUUUUGUCCACGGCUCAAAAUGAUCUAUUCUCCUAAUUACACACUUCUCCAUUUGACAUUCUCUUAAGUCACCCUAAAAUCAAUACAACUAACAAAACAUGUUGAUCUGGCAAAUAUAAAACAGACGUAAAUAAAGUAAUAUAUAAAUAAUGAUAUUAUCAUCACAUAAUUUUGCAUUACACAUUUUUCGAAUAUAUGAUUCUAUUUUCAAAACAAGAAAGAAAGAAAGAAUUCUGGUCAGAUUU
rnacentral:lncRNA from 1 species